GCAGCUCUUCAACUGCUGAACAAUCAAGCACUCUUAUGUUAUCUAAGUCCCACCUUUUUAGACUCACAAUAACAAACCUGCAUGCUGCAUACUACAAUUCCUAAAGUUCAGUUUCUGUAAAGUGGUGUUAAUAUAUAUUUUGUUUGGGAACAGUAAUCAUUUUGUCGUAUAUUUACAGUGCUUUCAAAAGAUUGCAACCCCCAGUUUGAGAACCCCUGAUCUAAUACAAUCAAGUGGCCCAGGUAACAGGAAUGACAGAAGUGGGUUUUACCAGAGUGAAGGCUUGUUUUCUUCCACAAUUUGGUGCCGUGACUUGGAUGGCAACGCCCGAUUGAAGACAGCGACAGCAGCUGCAGACCGUCCCCCUUCACCUUCAGGGCGCCAAAUGAGAGGUAAGAGACCUUUUGAAAUCUCUACUGAGGUGUGGAGGAGGACUGCCUGUAGGGUCGUCUGCUUCUUGUGGGCUCAUGCCAUCCGAACUUCUUGAAUCUGCAACAAGGUCAGACGCAAAGCGGUUACAAGGAGACUGUUUUGUUACACCCAAGUAGGCCUACGUUUAUGCAGUGCUAGGAACUGCUGUGAUUUUGGUGGUGCCGCCCCGGGUAUGGGAAGAAAAUUGUAUUGCGUCCGGACAUAAGGCACCUGGGUUUAUGCAGUGCUGGGAACUGCUGUGGUUCUGGGGGGAAACGUGUUGUUUGCCGCCCCAAAUAUGGACGAGGUCCAUAAAGAGAGAUGCCUCUAAAAGUGAGAAAAUUUCUGUGUGAAAACCAUGCUGAGUGUGAAUGUAAUGAGUGAAGCGUGAAUGCCGCUGCCCACGUCUCUGAGAAGUAAGCUGAUUCCAGCCGCACCAGGGCUCUCCCACGAGGGAGUUCUGAACGCAAGGGGGGUCAGCCGAACCUCGAGACCGAGCAGAUAUGUGAAGGAGUGAUGACUCCCCUUAUUUCAUGAGCUGCUGAUAAGGUCUGACACUCUAUACCCAGCAGACCCCUUCUUUAGUUUCCUAUAAGCCACUGAACGGACGGGGAGCGGACAGGAUACUCCCCUGAAUGACUAAAAUGGAUGGGGAUCAGUCUAAGCAUACCCCCCCCAGACAGCUGAAAGGCACCCCUGCGUACUACAUGUACGUGCAUCAUGGUCCAAGGACCUGUAAGCAUUUGACAGAUUGACAGAGAAAGAAAUUAAAGCCCUGAGGGAUGAGACUGAAGCUCAGAAAAGCAAAAAUCCUCCCUGCAGUGAGAAAUGUAACUUACAUGCAAUUGCACUGCCUCUCCCAAGCUUAGGGGGGAAUUUGGCCCAACAUUACCCCCUCUACUCCUCUCUAUGCCCAGCCCUAUAUGGGCCCUUACCACACAUCACUGAAGAUAGAGAGGAGGCACAGAAGAUAAUUGAAAGGGAUUAGAUCUUCCCUAUGGAAAAAUGGGCUCUAGUUACAAAUCUGUCCGAUCCAAAGCAAAACACUGAGUUUUGGAAUAGACUUAACAGCUUGUGGGAAGUAUUCCUCCAAAUUCUCAAGGAAGGAAUGCCUGCCGACGAUCAAGCCAUAUUGGCCCUAGGCAUUUUGGUUGGAUACAUAUACACAAAACACAACACAGGAGUAGGAAAGGGCUGCCAAGCAACUGUAGGAGAUUCUCAAGCCCUUGUUAGCAAAUAGAUAACAACAGCCUCUCUGGCUGGAAUCGCAGGCAACCCAAGGAUGUUUCACAAUGCACAAGUGGGGGCUGUCCAGAAAAAAAAACAGUUAAAACCUUUCCCUCACACACUGUUAUAAUUAGCUUGAGAGCGUAGGAGGACGUAACCCAAAAGCCAUCCUAAAAGCCAACUAGUAGGAAUUGAAUUUGAAAGUGUAAUCACUAGAAGCUAAAUCUGCCCUAACAAGGAGACACAUUCUGCAACAUAAAUCUCCUUACAGAGCAUGGUCGAGUGAUCCACCCCAGAGUCAGCAGCAUAGAUCAACUGCUGCAGCAUGGAUGUUAUGAAAACCCUAUACUGACAAGUUUAAACUUAGUAAUAGUUGACUGUAAUAAUACACAUUUGGAUUUACCUAUUGAAAAGAAUUAGGAGGUGUGGGGGCUAAUGGGAAAGCCCACCCUCCUUACCAAAUUAAUACUGGACAAACCUGUGUCAUUGA